rnacentral:lncRNA from 1 species
AAGUAUUGUGAGUUCUAUAAACAUCAAGGGCACGAUAUUAAGGCUUGCAAGAUCAGAAAACAAAAUGAUGGAGCAGACGAGGCAAUAGAGAGGAAUCUAGCUAAGAAUAUGCUCCAGAAUGAUAGGAAUGAAAUUGUCAAACUACAAGGGGACGCAAGGGACUAUUUAAAUGGUAAACGAGCUGGACAACGAUCUAAUGAUUUACAAGAAAAAGAGGAGAAUACAGGAGUUGAAUCAUCAAAAAUCGCACAGUACACCACACAUUCUGUUAAAACAGUGAAUGACAAUUCUGUUUUGAAUGAGAAUUGUGGUCUUUGUGAUUCAAUUGUAUAUCAUGGCACUGGAAAAGAUGUUUUGGUACAGAAGAAUGAUCUUAACUCUAAUCAUCUUGCUGUAAUGGAUAGGAAUGAGGCAGAUCAACAGGUAGCUGUAGAAACUGAAAUGUCAGAUGCCUAUAAUAUUGAACCUACACCUGAACUUGUGAAGGAGGUGCAGAAAUCCUAAGGUUAGUAUUUAGGCUCCAGCAUAUGACUCUGCAGAGUAUAUUGCUAAUAAUACACGGGCUGAGCAGAUAGGUGAAAGGGAUGGACAGCACUCCAAAUGCAAUAUGCAGCAGCAGUCAACUGUUACAUUUGCAGAAUCUGUGCUAAUAACUGAAGGAGCUUCUGGAUCUAUUGAUACAAUGCAAAACACUGUUCCAUUGGAAAUGUAUUGUAGGAUUGAGAAUAAUGCUGAGACAAUGCACACAAAUGUAAUCCAUAGCAGCCAGUGUGCACAGGAUGGACAGAUGAGUUAUCUUAAAGAACAGCAUCACAGGAACAAUCUGCAGUAUCUAAGAUCGGUUAAUGCAGUAUAUGAUUUAUCUUAAAGGACAGCAUCGCAGGAACAAUCUGCAAGAUCUAAGAUUGGUUAAUGCAGUAAACGAAGAAAAGGGAUCAAAUUUGAAAACUGCAGAGCUGACUGAACAUUAGCAGGCUAAGAUGAUGUCUAACAAUGACAAUGCUAAUAUGCCCACUCAAGCAACUGCAAAAAACAUCGACGCAAUGGACACAGAUCACACUGAUUUGCCUUUGCAAUCAAGAGAGAAGGCAUCAGUUUCUAAUAACAUUGAUGAUUCCACCAAACUGGACAGAAACAUUCUGCUCAAACUGCAUCUGAGAAUGAAAACUUGGAUGCUGUUUGUCAACAGAAAAUAAGAUCUUCAGAUAAGGACAUUGAGCAGAGUUCAAUUCCACAAUAAAACAGAAAGAGAAUGAAAACUUGGAUGAUGUUUUUCAACAGAAAACAAGACCUUCAGAUAAGGAGAGUGAGCAGAAUUCAAUUUCACAACAAAACACGAAAAAGAGUCAGCAGCUAACAGCAGAAGAG